CCUACGGGUGGCAGCAGUGGGGAAUAUUGGACAAUGGGCGAAAGCCUGAUCCAGCCAUGCCGCGUGUGUGAAGAAGGCCUUCGGGUUGUAAAGCACUUUCAUUGGGGAAGAAAGCCUUGGGGCUAAUACCCUCGAGGAAGGACAUUACCCACAGAAUAAGCACCGGCUAACUCCGUGCCAGCAGCCGCGGUAAUACGGAGGGUGCGAGCGUUAAUCGGAAUUACUGGGCGUAAAGCGCGCGCAGGCGGUCUUAUAAGCCGGUUGUGAAAGCCCCGGGCUCAACCUGGGAACUGCAUCCGGAACUGUAAGGCUAGAGUGCAGGAGAGGGAGGUAGAAUUCCCGGUGUAGCAGUGAAAUGCGUAGAGAUCGGGAGGAAUACCAGUGGCGAAGGCGGCCUUCUGGACUGGCACUGACGCUGAGGUGCGAAAGCGUGGGUAGCAAACAGGAUUAGAUACCCCGGUAGUC
rnacentral:rRNA from 1 species